AGAAUCAACGCUGGCGGCGUGCCUAACACGUGCAAGUCGAACGAGAAAGGGUAGCAAUACCUGAGUAAAGUGGCGCACGGGUGAGUAACACGUGACUAACCUACCCUGGAGUGGGGGAUAACUGAGGGAAACCUUAGCUAAUACCGCAUAAUACCUACGGGUCAAAGGAGCAAUUCGCUUUGGGAGGGGGUCGCGGCCGAUUAGUUAGUUGGCGGGGUAAUGGCCCACCAAGACAGUGAUCGGUAUCC
rnacentral:rRNA from 1 species